CAUCAAUGGAAAAACAGCUUUCCAUGGACUGCAAAUGAAACAUGUAAUUACAAGUACUGUGAGAACUAACAGGCUCACAGCAACAGCCACCGAUCAGGAGAUAGAGUCUCAUAUUAAGAGAUGGCUGCACCUCGCAGGUGACCGGGAUGGUGGUAGAAGAGAGAGGGAGGAGCGACGACGGACUCAAAAUCAAACCUGUCUGCACAAUGACACUGAUGGGCCCAAUCAAGAACAACUGUAAAUAUGUUAAUAUGCUUAUUGUUUUUGUUUUCCAUAGUUUGUAUUUUAUAGUGUUUAGAGUUUUCUGGUGUUCAGAGUUUUUAUAAAGUUGUUUUGUCUUUAUUUUAUUUUUACAUGCUUUGUUUUAUUUUCUUUGUUCAAG